rnacentral:rRNA from 1 species
AGAGUUUGAUCAUGGCUCAGAUUGAACGCUGGCGGCAUGCCUUACACAUGCAAGUCGAACGGUAACAGGUCUUCGGAUGCUGACGAGUGGCGAACGGGUGAGUAAUACAUCGGAACGUGCCCGAUCGUGGGGGAUAACGGAGCGAAAGCUUUGCUAAUACCGCAUACGAUCUACGGAUGAAAGCAGGGGACCGCAAGGCCUUGCGCGGACGGAGCGGCCGAUGGCAGAUUAGGUAGUUGGUGGGAUAAAAGCUUACCAAGCCGACGAUCUGUAGCUGGUCUGAGAGGACGACCAGCCACACUGGGACUGAGACACGGCCCAGACUCCUACGGGAGGCAGCAGUGGGGAAUUUUGGACAAUGGGCGAAAGCCUGAUCCAGCCAUGCCGCGUGCAGGAUGAAGGCCUUCGGGUUGUAAACUGCUUUUGUACGGAACGAAAAGACUCCUUCUAAUAAAGGGGGUCCAUGACGGUACCGUAAGAAUAAGCACCGGCUAACUACGUGCCAGCAGCCGCGGUAAUACGUAGGGUGCAAGCGUUAAUCGGAAUUACUGGGCGUAAAGCGUGCGCAGGCGGUUAUAUAAGACAGAUGUGAAAUCCCCGGGCUCAACCUGGGAACUGCAUUUGUGACUGUAUAGCUAGAGUACGGUAGAGGGGGAUGGAAUUCCGCGUGUAGCAGUGAAAUGCGUAGAUAUGCGGAGGAACACCGAUGGCGAAGGCAAUCCCCUGGACCUGUACUGACGCUCAUGCACGAAAGCGUGGGGAGCAAACAGGAUUAGAUACCCCGGUAGUCC